AAUUUGAAAUCUGGCUCUCGGGCCCGAGUUGUAAUUUGUAGAGGAUACUUUUGAUGCGGUGCCUUCCGAGUUCCCUGGAACGGGACGCCAUAGAGGGUGAGAGCCCCGUCUGGUUGGAUGCCAAAUCUCUGUAAAGUUCCUUCAACGAGUCGAGUAGUUUGGGAAUGCUGCUCUAAAUGGGAGGUAUAUGUCUUCUAAAGCUAAAUACCGGCCAGAGACCGAUAGCGCACAAGUAGAGUGAUCGAAAGAUGAAAAGCACUUUGAAAAGAGAGUUAAAAAGUACGUGAAAUUGUUGAAAGGGAAGCGUUUAUGACCAGACUUGGGCUUGGUUAAUCAUCUGGGGUUCUCCCCAGUGCACUUUUCCAGUCCAGGCCAGCAUCAGUUUUCCCCGGGGGAUAAAGGCGGCGGGAAUGUGGCUCUCUUCGGGGAGUGUUAUAGCCCACCGUGUAAUACCCUGGGGGGGACUGAGGUUCGCGCAUCUGCAAGGAUG
rnacentral:rRNA from 1 species